rnacentral:lncRNA from 1 species
CCUUCCGCACCUGUCGCACACACUUGUGCCUUCCUCACAGCAGCGCUGACGCCGACUUACUGGUGACGCGUGACUUUCGAUCUCCUGGUCAUGGCCUACCCGGGAUACGGAGGGGCGUUUGGAAACUUCGGCGGUCAGAUUCCAGGGAUGCAAGUGCAAAUGGGCCAGCCUGUGCCAGGCGCAGGGCCCAAUAUGUUCUCUGGUGGUUACCCUGGGUACCUUACAUACUCUGACAGCUACUCCCCUGCCGAUGACUCCAUGUGGACUUACUUCACGGCUGUUGCUGGGCAGGAUGGUGAGGUGGAUGCUGAAGAGCUGCAGAGAUGCUUGACACAGUCUGGAAUCAGUGGAUCUUAUGCUCCUUUCAGCUUGGAAACCUGCAGAAUUAUGAUUGCCAUGUUGGAUAGAGACUACACAGGAAAAAUGGGAUUCAACGAGUUCAAGGAGCUUUGGGCAGC